rnacentral:rRNA from 1 species
AUGGGUUCUAGAUUUCCAUCACAUCAGCUGAGCAGUGGCCUUUAUGUUUCUGGCCGACCUGAGCAACCUAAGGAGAAGGCCCCGACCUUUGGAUCCAAUGUGAUGCCAUACACUGGUGGUGACACCAAGAAAUCUGGAGAGCUUGGGAAGAUGUUUGAGCUCCAUGCUGAAAGAUCUAGAAAAUCUGGUCCUCUAGGCAAUGCGCCUUCGAGAAAUCCUUCAUUUGGCGGUGCUGCCUCCAACUCUGGACCUGUGUCUAAUGCUGGCGGUCGGUCAAACUACUCCGGUUCUCUUUCAUCUUCAGUUCCUGGCGCUGGAGGAUCAGCAAGAGCAAAAUCUAAUUCCGGACCACUCAAUAAGCAUGGAGAACCAGUAAAGCGGUCAUCUGGUCCCCAGUCUGGAGGUGUGACCCCAAUGGCUCGCCAGAAUUCCGGCCCUCUCCCUCCAAUGCUUCCUACGACUGGGCUUAUCACAUCUGGCCCUGUUACUUCUGGACCACUGAAUUCGUCCGGUGCCCCAAGAAGGAAAGUAUCUGGGUCUCUGGAUCCUGCUGCAUCGAUGAAGGCGCGGGCCACAUCGCUUGCUCACAACCAGGCUGUUACUACACUCACCAGUGAAGAUGGUUUCUCAGUUAUGGGAAGCAUUUCAAAGUGGGUAUUCUGGCUAGUGAUCACACUCUUGCUGUUCGGGUUUGCAGUAGGUCUCUUCAUUCUUAUUGCUGUAAACAAUGCGAUUGUGCUGAUAGUUGUUGUUGCAAUGAUUGGUUCUGUUGCUGCACUUGUGUCUUGGAAUGUUUGGCGGGGCAGGAGAGGCGUGCUCAGGUUUGUCAAUAGCUGUCCUGAUACUGAUCUCAGAACUGCAAAGGAUGGAGAGUAUGUGAAGGUUACAGGGGUUGUUACGUGUGGAAAUUUCCCCCUGGAGUCCUCAUUUCAAAGGAUUCCAAGAUGUGUGUACACUUCAACUAGGCUGUAUGAGUAUAGGGGCUGGGAUUCAAAAACUGCAAACCCCAAGCAUCGCCGGUUUACCUGGGGAUUACGGACAGCAGAGCGACAUGCGGUCGAUUUCUACAUUUCAGAUUUUCAGUCUGGGCUUAGAGCAUUGGUGAGAACAGGAAGUGGUGCACGGGUGACACCAUAUGUCGAUGAAUCGGUAGUAAUUGACGUCAAUCCUGAGAACAAGGACUUGUCUCCUGAAUUUCUAAGAUGGCUACGAGAAAGGAAUCUCUCAAGUGAUGGUCGGAAAAUGCGCCUAAAAGAAGGAUACAUCAAAGAAGGCAGCACUGUGAGCGUGAUGGGUGUCGUUCAAAAGAAUGAGAGCGUGUUGAUGAUAGUACCUCCAUCAGAGCCCAUCUCAUCUGGUUGCCAGUGGGGGAGUUGUUUCUUUCCAGCGAACCUUGAUGGACUGGUCGUGAGAUGUGAAGAUACUUCAGACAUGGAUGUGAUACCAGUAUAG